UAGGGAAUCUUCGGCAAUGGACGGAAGUCUGACCGAGCAACGCCGCGUGAGUGAAGAAGGUUUUCGGAUCGUAAAGCUCUGUUGUUAGAGAAGAACGUUGGUAGGAGUGGAAAAUCUACCAAGUGACGGUAACUAACCAGAAAGGGACGGCUAACUACGUGCCAGCAGCCGCGGUAAUACGUAGGUCCCGAGCGUUGUCCGGAUUUAUUGGGCGCAAAGCGAGCGCAGGCGGUUCUUUAAGUCUGAAGUUAAAGGCAGUGGCUUAACCAUUGUACGCUUUGGAAACUGGAGGACUUGAGUGCAGAAGGGGAGAGUGGAAUUCCAUGUGUAGCGGUGACAUGCGUAGAUAUAUGGAGGAACACCGGUGGCGAAACCGGCUCUCUGGUCUGUAACUGACGCUGUGGCUCGAAAGCGUGGGGAGCAAACAGG
rnacentral:rRNA from 1 species